AUCAAUCACUGUUGCUUGUCAGAAAACUCUGAAAAUAUUAUUGAGUACAUCUACCAUGAGCUAUGCUUGCCAUUUUAAAAGAUGUUUAUGUGAGCUUCAUGUCAUAUCAAUUUUUUUUGAAGCAAGCAGAUCUUGCGAUUUACUUAUGAUUUAUGAACAUAAAAUGUUUACUGUGUAACCCCUAAAUACAGUAGAAGAGAUUAGAGAAGCAGGUCUUAUAAAACUACGCUGAGACGAGUAGUACUUAUUUAGUCAAGUGACAUGUUAGAUAAAAUUCUACACCUAUUACAACUUAUCUGACUUCUGUAUUUUGUAAAGAUAGCUGAACUAGAUUGUGUUCCAGGAAUAAAAAACCAUGGAUGUUUUCCAUUUAUUCACUUGGCUUUUGGAAUUUGAUUGAUGUCCCCUUUCUCAUAUUAUUAACAACAUAUACCUACACGGUUCUCUCUACUGGUUUGCCAAAUUCUAGACACUUCUUGUGUGGUCCAUGCUUCCUCUUUGUACUAUGCUUACCUACAUUCGUAAUAUCACUCCUUUAUUCCCUUGACGUGCUUUUCCUUUACAAAGAAGAAUACACACCAUGGGGAAAAGAGAAGUAAAUUUGUAUUUGUAGUCUACAAACAGGGCGUCCUAAUUAUUUGUUCGAGCAUGCUACAGUCUUGUUUUCUCUGCCGUGUCUUCUCCUUUUCUUAGUAGUGUCACUACUGAUUGAUCUGCUCAGAUGUGCUAUUUAGAGUUUGAUCUGGAUAUAUACUAGCUAUUUUAUUAGGAGUUGGUGGUAAAGAUGAACUAAUGGUCGAUCCUCCCUGCUGUCCUCGCUGCACUUCAUGCAAAAUCAUUAGGCCGGUACUGGGAGUACCUCAUUUAUGAUGGAUCUUAUACUUCAAAGCUUAUUUAUAUUGUCUAAUAUGUUUUAUUUGUACUAAUUCAGUAAAUUUAAUUUAUCUUUUGGCUUAAUAUGUCCAAGGUAUUGAUAUAGUAAUAUUUUGUUACCUGAUUAAAGCUCAAACAUACUGCUUCAGUAUCUCCCAGUAGGUGCCUCAGAAUUAUGCAGUUGAUCGUACCAUACUGCUACUUGAAUAAAAAUGUUUAUCUUUGUGUUCUACACUGAAGCUAUCAUAUGAAGUUUAAUUAUUUUAAGCGUUCAUCACCAAAACUACUUUGUUGGUAGUGAAAGGCUUCAUAGAAUUUCAUAGAUGUUGCACAUCAUGAGAUUAACCCGUAGAAGAAUGUAUUCAUAACCAUAUGACGUGUGUGAUGUUGGGUUAUAGCCGUUGUAUGCUGAAAGGCUUUUUCCCUUGCUUCCUUCCAUUUUCUUCUAUGUGCAUUGACUAGACGUAUGUUUUUACAAUGUGGCAUGGUUUGAGCAUUUUAAAUUCUUUACACGCUUCCAUUAUUUCCCGCCCCAUUUAUAUUGGUAUGUCCUUUAAAUAGCAGGCAGGUACAUGUGUGAUGGCACAAUAUAACUCAGUGUUAGCUGGCUUAUAAUCUCUUAUCCCUUGAAAGACUUCAAAGAUGGCAUCUCAUGGGACAACACAAGAGACCAUAUAGUAAAGGAAAAGAUGCAAACACGAUAGGCAGGACCAAAAGUAUUUUUAAUGAGCCUGAAAAAUCAUAACGGAGACCGGUAUUGCUACAAUUGUAAGUUGUGAUCCUAAAUCUGAGCUUGAUGGUGCUGAAAUUACUAAUGAAUUGUAGGUAGUGCAUGUCGAUAUGGCACUUGUGAAAACUAAAUAUUUGGUAUGGAGUCGCAAAAACUGUAAUACUCUUGGUAAUGCAGAAUUUUUUUGCAUGGCAACCUUUAUUCAAAAGAUAAAUGGAUGAUUAUAUGGGUGUGUGGGCAAGCAUACUACUAUGAUGACGAUGAUGUUCGUGUUCAUGAUGAUGGAGACGGAUGCUUUCAGUUUUAGUAAAGUUGUAGGGAUGAUGUUCCUCAAUUAUGUUUUAGUUAAUCUGUAGGGAUGUUGAUGCAUGCUUUCAAUUUAAGUUUCACCAUCAAGAGAACAUUUAUAUUAUACAUCCCAUUUGGAUGAUUUUCCUCAUGUAAUGUCUACCAUUGUAAUCAAACAGUUUUAACUAAUAUAUGAUUUCU